rnacentral:rRNA from 1 species
AUUGAACGCUAGCGGGAUGCCUUACACAUGCAAGUCGAACGGAGUGGCGAACGGGUGAGUAAUGUAUCGGAACGUGCCCAGUAGCGGGGGAUAACUACGCGAAAGCGUAGCUAAUACCGCAUACUAUUUGAGCGGCCGAUAUCGGAUUAGCUAGCUGGUGGGGUAAGGGCUAACCAAGGCGACGAUCCGUAGCUGGUUUGAGAGGACGACCAGCCACACUGGGACUGAGACACGGCCCAGACUCCGACGGGAGGCAGCAGUGGGGAAUAUUGGAGAAUGGGGGAAACCCUGAUGCAGCCAUCCCGCGUGUGCGAUGAAGGCCUUCGGGUUGUAAAGCACUUUUGGCAGGGAAGCGGUACCUGCAGAAUAAGCACCGGCUAACUACGUGCCAGCAGCCGCGGUAAUUC